UUUCUCUGGGGAUGGUUCUCUUGCUUUCAGCCCAAGGCCAAGGAACAGACAUUCCUCGGCUGGGAUGACGGUGCAUCUUUUAUCUAGCAAGUCACAUUUCGACUCUGUGUUUCAAUCAACUGUAAAGUCUUCGGGGCCAUCUUAGAAAAGGGAUUUUAUUAUUUUUCCAGACAUGCUGUCUUCAGAAUAAGUGAAAUUCAAAAUGUUAAAAUGAGGUGGCUCUGGUCAUGUCUUGGCCAAAGCAUUCUCACUUACCUAGAUUAUGGUUCCAUCACAAGGAAGAGUUUGGUGCUGAACUCUUUGUGGUUGGCAUGUUUUCCUCCUAGAUUGGCACUGUUGAAGAAAAGCGGGGAGGAAGAUUGGAGAAACAGACUCAGCAGGAGGCAGGAGGGCAGCAAGGCUCCGGCCAGCAGCCUGCACACCCAGGAAGCAGGGCGGUCCCUCAUCAAGAAGAGGGUCACAGAAAGUCGAGAGAGCCAGAUGACAAUUGAGGAAAGGAAGCAGCUCAUCACUGUGAGAGAGGAGGCCUGGAAGACGAGAGGCAGAGGAGCGGCCAACGACUCCACCCAGUUCACUGUGGCUGGCAGGAUGCUGAAGAAAGGUUUGGCGUCACCCACUGCCAUAACCCCAGUAGCCUCACCCAUUUGCAGUAAAACAAGAGGCACCACACCCGUUUCCAAACCCCUGGAAGAUAUCGAAGCCAGACCAGAUAUGCAGUUAGAAUCGGACCUGAAGUUGGACAGGCUGGAAACCUUUCUGAGAAGGCUGAAUAACAAAGUUGGCGGGAUGCACGAAACGGUGCUCACUGUCACCGGCAAAUCUGUGAAGGAGGUGAUGAAGCCAGAUGAUGAUGAAACUUUUGCCAAAUUUUACCGCAGCAUGGAUUAUAAUAUGCCCAGAAGUCCUGUGGAGCUGGACGAGGACUUCGAUGUCAUUUUCGAUCCUUAUGCACCCAAGUGAGUUAUUUGGGUCUCCGUCUUUCCUCCACUGAGAAGGGCUUCCUUCACCUAUACACAGCAUAUCCACGAGGCUCUUUCCCCAUGUGACCUCCUUCUUCUAACUCCAUCACAGGGGCGUUAGUAUUCUAGAGCCAGGGCACGCUGUUGCAGGAGCCAGGGGCAGGGAGCCUCACAGCAGAUAGAACAUGCAGACCAGAUGUGCAGGCAGGCAGACCGUGUGGGCCACAGUUGCUUGUCCUGUGCCAUAAAGAGGGCGUCACUGGAUUUUUCACAUAAUUUGAAUAUCGUUUUGCAGUUUUUAGGGUUACAUUACUUAGCAGAGAGUUCAACGCCUGUCUUUCAUUGGCAUAUUGAAUCCUUCCUCAUAAUGUUGCAAAAUAUUUGGAUGAGAUGAGCUCAAAUUAGUACAGCUCACUAGAAAAUCAGUAAGGCAUGUUACUUAGCUUCUAAUCAUUUACAAAAUCAGUAGAUCUGGGGGUUUUCUCAUUGAUGUCUAAGGGUUUCUCUUCCCACGGGAACAUGACUAAACCAACUAGGAAAAGUGAUUAUGGUAUUAGGAGUCCGUCAAUUUCAAGUGCCGAGGAGAAGAUCCCAACUCAAACUGAUUUCAGCAAAAAGAAAAGUGCGGAGAGGUUUACCCGCUCACUGGCUGAACAGUGGGGAGGAGUUGACCGGCCUCACUCGCCGAACAGUGCGGAGGGGUUUACGCUCUCACUCGCUGAAAAGCGCGGUGGAGUUGACUGGCUCACUCGCUGAAAAGUGCAGGUGUGGCCUCGGGUUCUAGAGGCUCCUCAGAACACAGUCUGUCUUGGCUUUGGGCUGGCCGCACUCUCCGUCAGGCAAUGGCCAGGCGGCAGAUGGACACCCAGCUGUGGAGUCACAAGGCUGCCUCCCUGGCCAGCCCAGCACAGGUAGCUUCUCUUCUCAAUAGUCCCAGCAGAAGUUCCAGGUUUGAUUUUCUUGGCUUCAACUUGAGUCCCGUGUCCAUCCCUAAACCAGUCACUGUGGCCAAUGGGAUAGAAGAUGCCGACUGGCUAAAGGCGGGUCUCUGGGUCUCCUCUAGAGCCACGGUGGGGGCGCAGGGAGGUGGUUUCCCCAAAGGAAAAUCCAGAUCCUAUUACAGAAGCAGAGGAGGACACACUGGACAGGCUCCACCCACGGCAGUCCACCACAUCCAUCGGGUCUUUCCUUCGAAAUUGUCAGAGUGACAUAUACCAUUUUCUACAAGCUGCUCCUGAUAAAUUCAUUGCAUAUUCUGGUUUGCUCAAUUUGUUUCAGUUUGCAUGUUUUAAUUUCCUACCUUAAAAAAUGAGCCCUUUUCUAUUUUCUACUUCAAAAUAGUAUUUUGGGUAUUUGCAUACAUAGCUGUUUAACCAUUUCUCAAUCUUCUGCCCACCCAAUGUCACUGUUUAAAUUAUUGUAUAUCAUAAUGUAAACAUAUAUGUAUAUUACACACUUGACACCAUGGUAUGUAAAGAGGCCUUUCGGGCACAGAGGCCCGCGCAGCUGCAGGUGGAGAGUGGCAGCAGGAGUCUGUUGGGAGAUCACUUCGCACCGUCUGCUCACCUCACCAAGUCUGGUUUUCCACCCCAGAGUUGUGAAAAUGUAGGAUGGUCACAGAUGGUUUUGGUAGGACCCUGAGCUUCUCGGAGUUGGGAUGUGGGCUGGAGGGAGCCGGCUGGGGGCAAUGAAUGGAGGCGAGGAGAUGGGCUCCAGGUUCUCACUCCCACUGUAGGCUGAGCCACACUGCUCUCAUCUGCCCAAUAAUGUGGGGUUCCAUCAUUCUGAAACAGUGAUUUUCUUGGUUUGAGGUGAUAGCAUGCAUAAUCUUGAUUUUUGGAAUAAUCUUGCUAUAAUUUUCAUUUUCCCAUAACACUCAUAAACCUAUCUCCUCAUGUUUUUCUUAGAAAUAUAGUAUUUAGAUGAAGUGGUUGAGUCUUUUCGUUAUAACUGGUUUACUAAGAAAGUAUAUUUCAGACCACGCAUGGUGGCUCAUGCCUGUAAUCCUAGCACUUCAGGAGGCAGAGGCAGGAGGAUCACUUGAGCCCAGGAGUCUGAGAGCAGCCUGAGAAACAUAGCAAGACUUCAUCUCUACAAAAAAUAAAAAAAUUAGCUAGGUGUGGUGGCACUCACCUGGGGUCCCAGCUACUCAGGAGGCUGAGGUGGGAGGAUCACUUAACCCCAGGAGGUCAAGGCUGCAGUGAGCCAUGAUUGCACCAUUGCACUCCAGGCUGGGUGACAGAGCCACACCCUUUCUCAAAAAAAAAAAGUGUAUUUCAAAACCACAACACCAUAAUGAAUUGACAAGUGGUGUUAUAUGUCUUCAAAUCUAAUCCCAGUGAAAUAAAUUUCUGAAUUU
rnacentral:lncRNA from 1 species